rnacentral:rRNA from 1 species
AGUGAACGCUGGCGGUAGGCCUAACACAUGCAAGUCGAACGGCAGCACAGUAAGAGCUUGCUCUUACGGGUGGCGAGUGGCGGACGGGUGAGGAAUACAUCGGAAUCUACUUUUUCGUGGGGGAUAACGUAGGGAAACUUACGCUAAUACCGCAUACGACCUACGGGUGAAAGCAGGGGAUCUUCGGACCUUGCGCGAUUGAAUGAGCCGAUGUCGGAUUAGCUAGUUGGCGGGGUAAAGGCCCACCAAGGCGACGAUCCGUAGCUGGUCUGAGAGGAUGAUCAGCCAAACGGGAACUGAGACACGGUCCAGACCCCUACGGGAGGCAGGAGGGGGGAAUUUUGGAAAAGGGGGGAAAGCCUGAUCCAGCCAUCCCGGGGGGGUAAAGAAGGCCUUCGGGUUGUAAAGCCCUUUUGUUGGGAAAAAAAAGCAGCAGGUUAAUACCCCGCUGUUCUGACGGUACCCAAAAAAUAAGCACCGGCAAACUUCGU